rnacentral:rRNA from 1 species
ACGAAUUAAUGAAAUAAUAACUGUCUCUGAAUUAUUAAAUGAAUUUAAAUUUUUAGUUAAAAUUCUAAAAUUUAAUUAUGGGACGAUAAGACCCUAUAGAAUUUUAUUUAAUAUUUUAUUUAUUAAAUAAUUAUUAAUUUGUAAAUAAGAUAUUAAAUUUGAUUGGGAGGAUUGAUAAAUUAAUUAAACUUUAUUUAAUAUUUAAUUUUGAUUUAAAGAUAGAUAUUGAAUUAUAAUUUAUAAUUAACAGAGUAAAUUACCUUAGGGAUAACAGCGUAAUAUCUUUUGAUAGACCAUAUAGAUAAAGAUGAUUGCGACCUCGAUGUUG